AGGGCUCUGCUGGGAGACACUUCAGCUGGGGUUACACAGUAGUGUUCCGCUGACAGCGAGGCUGGUCUGUUAUCCUAUCACUGUUAUCCUAUUAUUGAGGAUCCUGUCCUGUGAUCACUUAAAUGCUUGGCACCCUGGUGGAAACAGCAAAGGCUGAAUUCAGCUGGACAACUGUCCCUCUCCAUGGACUUCUCCAGCAGGGGAAUCGGACUUACCACACAAUGGCUAUCUGCCACCCACCUAGAUGUCCAUAAUUUUUGAAAAACUAGUCUGAAGAGGAACAGCUUUGUCCAAGCAUCCAGGAUGCCAAUGUCACUGGCUAAGAGUUAUGGAUUUCCUUGUGAUGGAGCAGGGAUGGAGGGAGAGAAAGUGAGAGGACUCUAGCAUGGACUGGAUAUAUGUGUGGAUCAGACACUUUCUGGCAUGUCCACAAGAGUCAUGUCCCCUAACCUCUGCAACACACCUCAGCGGUUGUGCAUAACAUUAGCCCCGUUUUCAGUGGAAGAAAUGCAGAUGGUAGGACAGACAAACCUGAAUUGGAAUCUAAGCUCUGAAACUCUUGCUGUCCGACUCUGGGGUAGGCCUUUCCCUGCCUAAGCCUGUUUCCAUUAGGUGAGGCAGCACCUACUGACAACACUGUGGACUGCAUGACCUAACACCAUGUAAAAGGGCUUCGUCAGGUAAUGCACAGAAAAUGUGAAUUUGUUCACUCCCAAGUGGACAGCUGGUUGAAAGCAGGAACUGAAUGGAGAGGGGGAGAAUAUGGGGGUAUGCAGGAGAAGUAUUCCUGAGCACCAGGAUGC